UUUGACCUAAUUCUUUGAAUUGCACAAGUUCGGAACAGUCUUAUUCUUGAAUAUUGAUGCAUGGUUCUCAUCAUAAACUUUAGUGCAGUAACAAAUCUGGUGUACAAAUUCUGUACAAAAUUUAAGCUAUAAAGUUGGCUUUCUUCUCCUCGAAAAAAUAUAAUAGAAGCAGAAAUUUUGAAACACUGCAGUAGAGAUACGUGGUUUCGCACUUAAACCAUCGACAAGAAGAAAUAGGAAAUUCCUUAACGUGGACUGUAAAUGGCGUUAUUUUGACCAGAAAUAAACAACCCACCGGGAUUUUGCGUUUGAUUUCUGCAGAUAUGUAAACUUAGGAAAGCAUCUAAACUAGAAUACAUAGCAUUAACGUUCCAACAAAGUUAAAGCAUAUUUAUGGAUAAGAGCUCGUCAACUUUUAACGAGACAGUUUGCCGUAAGAACUUGUUGUAGUCUGGAUAUUACGUCAAUGAGAGAGUAAACGAUAAAUGUUAUUACGUCUAUCGACACGUCGAAAUCUCACUCCGUGGUCAUGCGACAAGGUGCUGCAGCUUGUUGACAGCUUGGGGUUAUUGUUAAACAAAGUUUGUAGAGGUAGAUCAAGUAUUUCGUGGCUCCUUCACUCGGGAAGAAUCACACUCAUCGGCAAUAUUAAGAGAUUUGAAUUUCUGCUCUUCGAUGGCGAGGCAACGUCGAAUUUGAGUGCAAUCCAUCCACGCAAGAUGACAAGUGAGUGGCAAUGGGUAUGGUAAUUAUGAAUAAACUUGCGAUCAGUAGUACAAAGAUGGGCCCAUGACCCAAUUUCCUGGUUUCUUCGCCACGCCUGAUCGCCGCUCCAAAUGGUCCACUCGUGCACUUAUCAACGCUCGCGUUGUUCGCCCACCGCUGCCAGCGUGGGCAAAACAGCCACCUUGCGCGUCCAAAUCUGUCGCCAACCCGGUGAUUUUGGCUUUAAAAAACGUGCUUUCGAUAUAGUUUUGUCAUCGCUAGCCUCGAAUUUUACCCGCAGUUUCAAUGUAAAACUUCUAAAUAUGUCCAUCAUUCUCAAUUCAAUGUGAGUCAAACAAUUCACCUUGUCAAGAACACAUUAUAGUAAAGGUGAGUUGGUCGCGUACAAUGCGCAAAUAAACAAAAAUAUCAACAAAUUAUCGGUCGGUUGAAAGAAGUAUCUCACAUUCUGAAAUGACUCGUUUUUUCAAGAGUAUAUGGGCUGCCAGGAUUUUGAUGUUUUGGAGGGAAUUCCUUUACUUGAGCCUUCCUAAUAAAAGGCUGUCAGCAAAAUUGAACAGGAGUAAUGUUCAAUUUUUUUUAAUCUUAUUUUUCUGUUAUUUUAAUAGCGAAACUUAUAUGAUGGUGAAUUCUAUAAAAGACUUCAGCGUCUGACAUUAAUUUUUAACUCCAAUGCACACGGGAGUUCACAAGCCUACAGAUAUGCCAAACAUAGUACCAUGUGAAAUUCAAACUUGAAACGGCGUUUUUCCAAAAUCACUACAAUGUUUCUUUGAGGACUUUACACCGGUAUGAAUAUCUCUCAUUGUAAUUGUAAUGGAAAAGCAUUAAGACCGCCAUAUAAAGCAUCACUCGCCAGUUGAGAGAAAAAUUAAAUACAAGUUUAAUCCUCGGUGAGGCCCUGUAGUUUUUUGCGCAUGAUAUUUCAACCACUCAAAAUCGGACUGAACACUUUCAAAGGGUAAUUCAAACUGAGGAUGCCUAAGCAUCGAAAUAUUUGACGUUAUGUCCUGAAAUCCUAUUUUCACACUCGAU
rnacentral:lncRNA from 1 species